AUUGAACGCUGGCGGCAGGCUUAACACAUGCAAGUCGAGCGGGGAAGAGUAGCUUGCUACUUGACCUAGCGGCGGACGGGUGAGUAAUGCUUAGGAAUCUGCCUAUUAGUGGGGGACAACAUCUCGAAAGGGAUGCUAAUACCGCAUACGUCCUACGGGAGAAAGCAGGGGACCUUCGGGCCUUGCGCUAAUAGAUGAGCCUAAGUCGGAUUAGCUAGUUGGUGGGGUAAAGGCCUACCAAGGCGACGAUCUGUAGCGGGUCUGAGAGGAUGAUCCGCCACACUGGGACUGAGACACGGCCCAGACUCCUACGGGAGGCAGCAGUGGGGAAUAUUGGACAAUGGGGGGAACCCUGAUCCAGCCAUGCCGCGUGUGUGAAGAAGGCCUUUUGGUUGUAAAGCACUUUAAGCGAGGAGGAGGCUACCGAGAUUAAUACUCUUGGAUAGUGGACGUUACUCGCAGAAUAAGCACCGGCUAACUCUGUGCCAGCCGCCGCCGUAAUAC
rnacentral:rRNA from 1 species